AUUGAACGCUGGCGGCAUGCCUUACACAUGCAAGUCGAACGGUAACGCGGGGCAACCUGGCGACGAGUGGCGAACGGGUGAGUAAUGCAUCGGAACGUGCCCAGUAGUGGGGGAUAGCCCGGCGAAAGCCGGAUUAAUACCGCAUACGACCUACGGGUGAAAGGGGGGGAUCGCAAGACCUCUCGCUAUUGGAGCGGCCGAUGUCAGAUUAGGUAGUUGGUGGGGUAAAGGCCUACCAAGCCGACGAUCUGUAGCUGGUCUGAGAGGACGACCAGCCACACUGGGACUGAGACACGGCCCAGACUCCUACGGGAGGCAGCAGUGGGGAAUUUUGGACAAUGGGCGCAAGCCUGAUCCAGCCAUGCCGCGUGCGGGAAGAAGGCCUUCGGGUUGUAAACCGCUUUUGUCAGGGAAGAAAUCUUCUGGGUUAAUACCUCGGGAGGAUGACGGUACCUGAAGAAUAAGCACCGGCUAACUACGUGCCAGCAGCCGCAGUAACAC
rnacentral:rRNA from 1 species